UCUUCACUGUCCCACAUACCACAAUCCUGCAGAUUUCAUCAUUGAAGUAGCAUCAGGAGAGUACGGGGACUUGAACCCAGUGUUGUUUGAGGCUGUUCAGGGUGGCAUGUGUGCAUUAGAGCAAAAGUGCAACUGUAUCGACAAAACCACUGUAACCCCAUGCACUGCAAAAUGUGUCAAAGAUUCAGGGCAUAUUGAGAGCCAUACUUUCGCAACAAGCUCUCCGACUCAGUUCUGCAUUCUCUUCAAGAGAACAUUUAUUACAAUAUGCAGAGA